AGCGAACGCUGGCGGCAGGCCUAACACAUGCAAGUCGAGCGGCCGUAGCAAUACGGCAGCGGCAGACGGGAGAGUAACACGUGGGAACGCGCCCUUCGGUUCGGAAUAACUCAGGGAAACUUGGGCUAAUACCGGAUACGCCCUUACGGGGAAAGAUUUAUUGCCGAAGGAACGGCCCGCGUCCGAUUAGCUAGUUGGUGAGGUAAUGGCUCACCAAGGCGACGAUCGGUAGCUGGUCUGAGAGGAUGACCAGCCUCACUGGGACUGAGACACGGCCCAGACUCCUACGGGAGGCAGCAGUGGGGAAUAUUGGACAAUGGGCGCAAGCCUGAUCCAGCCAUGCCGCGUGGGUGAUGAAGGCCCUAGGGUUGUAAAGCCCUUUCGGCGGGGAAGAUAAUGACGGUACCCGCAGAAGAAGCCCCGGCUAACUUCGUGCCAGCCGCCGCCGUAAUAC
rnacentral:rRNA from 1 species